rnacentral:rRNA from 1 species
UACGAAGGGGGCUAGCGUUGCUCGGAAUCACUGGGCGUAAAGGGUGCGUAGGCGGGUUUUUAAGUCAGGGUGAAAUCCUGGAGCUCAACUCCAGAACUGCCUUUGAUACUGAAGAUCUUGAGUCCGGGAGAGGUGAGUGGAACUGCGAGUGUAGAGGUGAAAUUCGUAGAUAUUCGCAAGAACACCAGUGGCGAAGGCGGCUCACUGGCCCGGUACUGACGCUGAGGUGCGAAAGCGUGGGGAGCAAACAGG